UUCAACUUUUACCUACCCAAGCCGUUCACCCUCUUCCUCUCCUCUUUUCUCUUCAAUUUUCUUUCUUUCUCCCAUUGUUGUUUGCGCCUACACCUGGUUUUACCAUCUCUUUCUUUUUCUUUUUCUUUUUGCCACAAGAUUUGUUAACAUAUUCUCUACCAUAUUGCUGUCAUUUUUUCUCAUUAAAAUCAGCCCCAAAUCUGAAAUCUUGAACUCCAAGAUCGAUCUUGAACAUUGCCAAGAAAGUGCCAUUGCCGUUUCUCUUGACUAGCUUGGGGAAAAACGUUCUUGAUCGAUUGGCCAUUCGGAUCCCACAAAUCGUGAAGCGUGCUGACCCAAAUGCCCCAAAUCAUCCGUAAAGGCGAAGAAUGAUUGUACGUACGUUUCACAUCGAUACAGUGUUUGUUUAAGGAAUUAUUAAGGAAAAUUGGAAGAUUCGCUAGUGCACUGCGAGGAAGCGAAAAAUAAGGUAAACCUCAAAAUUAGGACCGGACUCGGCGUUCGGAGAAUCAACUUGGGCCUCGGAUUAUUAUUAUUUUAAUUAAGUAUUAUUAAGUCUUUAUUGGUUUUGGCUUGUAAUUUUUAAUUAUUUUUGGUUUAUGGCUUGGUAACUUUUCUUUUGGGGAUUUUUGCAUGAAUGGAUUACUCAAGCAUAAUAACCGAAUAA